rnacentral:rRNA from 1 species
UGCGUAGGCGGGUGAUCAAGUCAGGGGUGAAAUCCUCCCGCUUACGGAGAAGUGCCUUUGAUACUGGUCGUCUUGAGGGAGGUAGGGGCAUGUGGAACUUCCGGUGGAGCGGUGAAAUGCGUAGAUAUCGGAAGGAACGCCGGUGGCGAAAGCGACGUGCUGGAUCUCUUCUGACGCUGAGGCACGAAAGCCAGGGUAGCGAACGG